rnacentral:misc_RNA from 1 species
ACCCGUCAUAUAUAUCCGUUGCCCUGGACCGGUAAACGAGGGGACAACGAACCGCUGCCCUCCUCCCUGUUACUGUGGUAUCGCGCAUUGCGAACUCAACGCGUGGUCGAGAGCAUCAAGGCUGAACGCGCGCCGAAAGGAUUGAUUUGCGCCCUCCCCGUCUCCGUCUCUGCCCCGCUCACCCUCUUCCUCUCUCUCUCUCUCGCCGCACGCUCCGCAGCAAAGAAACGCUUAUCUAUUUUUCCAGGAAGGAUGAAGUGCGUGUUGGUUGUGCACAGCGGAGAUGACCGCAUGCAGCGCUCCUGCGACCUUCCAGAUGGAGUGUCCACCCAAGAGCAGCUUCGGGCUUUUGUGCGGUCGCAGGACCUUCGACUCGAUUCGCUGGACUUCACCUUCGCGGUUAGCCUGGUGAGGUUGACGGCUGGGGCGGCAGAGAAGACGGGGGAAAAAGUCGUCCUGCGCAAAGAUGCGGAUGUGCAACAGCUGCUCAAAACUGCGAAGCAGCAGCGCGCCACUCACGUUCUCACCUUUGAGGUCACCAUUUCCGGCAGCUCUUCCUCGCCUCGGAGCUUGGGCAGCUUCCUGUCUUCGGAGUACGCGGUCGACAAAGACUUGGUGACGCUGCAUGUUUUCGCCCCACUUGCCAGCCCAUCCCGCGGCAACAACCCGAGCUACCAAGAGAAGAUGUUCAUCAUUCCGACGAGGUUUGUACUGGAAAGUCUGGCGCGAGCCGUCGAGGACACGCUGAGCAUUAAACUGACCAAUAGCGGCAUGAAGCUGGUACUGUACACGAUGCCACAGCAGCCCAAUGAUAACCAGGUAGAAAUCAUAGACGACACGGCGGCUUUGCAGCUGCUGCGCCAGCACGCGUCACAGCGCACACCGGUUCGACUCACGUACGCCACCCACGCGCGAACCCCGAAAACUUCGUCGGGCCAGAUGAGCAGACGGGCAAGCCAGCAACAAUUCACAGCCCCGCACCCGCCGUCGCCGCCACCUGCACACAGAACCGAGGUGUCCAGCAAACCGAAGCCGCAUCUUCCUUCUCUCUCGAACUUGGCGAGCGAGCCGUCAAGCCAGCCCUCAAGAGAGCCUCCUUCGCAGGCCCUUCCAGAGCGGAAGAGCGCGGUCUCACCCCCGUCGCCGUCUCGAAAGGCUGCCACUCCGUCGUCGUGUGCGCCACCAACAUCACCGCCACCGGGUGCGGAGGCGGCCGCCUCCGCACCCGAGUCCACCCACACCCCGCAUCGCGUAUUCAUGCGCGAGACCGCCAUUCCUGCGACCAAGCACGAGGUGCGAGUUCAGGUGCGUCCAAUCGCAGCCGAGGGUGCUGCCGCCGCCGCUCCCCUUCGCGAGAUGUGUUUUGUGUACGCGAAGGAAGAGGUGCAGCUGUGGCGGCGCUUUGCGACAGAGUGCGAGGCGUCAGUGGGUGCCGGCACGGCAGGGCACGUGCCGGUGCUCUCCAACGACUCGUCUGUGUGCCUCGACUCUGACAGCGUGCUUCGGGAGUGGCUGGCGCUUGCGAAGGAGUCUCAGCAGCCGUUGCGGGUGCGUCUGUCACCCCGCCAUUCGGUCCCGCCGCUGCCAGCCAAGGCAGACGCGCCGGCCGCACUUACGCCAGAAUCGCCAGUUGCUGACCGGGAUGCAGCUCCAGCAGGAUCAGAUGCCGCCACUCCCAACGCAGCGGAGUCUGGCUCUUCCCUGGUCGGCAGCGAGAAGCUGAUGCGUAACAAAACGCUUAGUAGCCGCAGCGCUAGCCCAAUGCUGUCUCCCGACACCGCAGCCCCGGCUGCUUCCUCCCCUCUGCCACUCCACAAUGGAGGCACUUCAGACAGCAGCCAAGCCGCGCAGAUUCGUGUGCCAUCGUCUCAGCAUCAUUCAAAUACGCCCCUCCAGGACAUCGCCGCAUCGUCAGCACCUCCGAAAGAAUCACCCACGAAGGUGGGCGCAGCACCACCAAGCACACGCCACCCUCCUCUCUCGCCAAACGCUGCCUCCUCCUCAGCCGGCGCAGAACGCGCUAAGGACGCUACGGCAAAGGCACCUGAGGAGGACACCGCCGAAGCAGAUGCGCCGCCUCUCGUGAUCCGUACGGCUGCAGGCACCUCCACUACAUCCGUGACGGCUGAAUGCCUGCCAUGCGUUUGCGAGGCCGACAGCGGUGACGCGUCUUCGGUUAGAUUUCAAGUGCUCGCACGUUGGGGAGCUGAGCAGCAAAUGAUGCUCUUCCGCUUACGAGAAGGCACCGCCUUAGAUGACCUCCGCCGUGCUGUUCUCGACGCAUUUUGCAGCGGCGUUGCUGGCACUGACGACGAACCACCUCUUACGAUGGAGGUGCGCUAUGUAGCUGCGGGGCAGCUCCUCCGCGUACUGCUCGUUGACGAGGCGCAGUUGCUUGAUCUCCGGGGAGCGCUUUUGGUGGACUCGGCGGAGAUACACGUCACCGCACCGACGACCCCGCCACCUCCGCGACGCGUAGAAGAGGCGAGCGGGAACACCAGUGGCACGGCGCAGGUCGCAGCGGCUGUCCUGCAGCUGCUUGCAGAUGCGGUGGUGCAGCACUUGGGUUCCCGUCCAUCCGUCUCAAGUGUCGAAAUCAGCGACCUUGUGCGUAGUCAGCUGGGCAAGCAGGCGGCAACCGAUCCCUUUCGCGGAUUCCUGGACGGCGCCGUCGCCACUCCGUUUGAUGCACCCACUCCCGAUCCUGAUGGUGCCGCCUCUUGGGGAGCGCAUGUCUUGCCGUGGCUCUCCUCUGUGCUUGACGGGAUGCAGGCACCCCCACCGGCCGCCACAGAGGUUGCUGUGGAAGUCGCCUCAUCGUUGCUCCGCUCACUCCUGUGCGAUGGAGAUUUUCUUCUUGAUCAGCUCGCCGCUUCCGUCCGUGCUGUCGGUGACAAUGAUGAAGGCAGCGGCACUGCAGCCCCAGGUACCACUGUUCGGCCGUCUCUCGCCGCCUUAUGGACUGACGCCGGUCUCGCAACCCCGACGAGCUCCUCGAGAGCGGAGUGGCAUCCCUUUCGCGCAGCGUACGUCGGCGGUGCAUCUGGGUGGAAGGCGGCGUAUGCGGCGGCCCCGGCCGCUAUGUUAGACUUGAUUGCUGCCGGAGUAAUGGACGGCGUGUGGGCCUUUCCUCGCCGCAGACACGCGCAGGCCGACAUGGUGUGGCAGCGCAGUCUCGCCAAGGCCCACCGUGACUGCUGCGAGUCGAUCAAUCCCACAGAACUGGAGCGAUACUUCAAGUCCGGAGACUGCCCCAAUCGCGACGGUGCACUUGACCACCGUCGCGUCAUCUUGAGCUGCGUUGGUGCGCUGCUGGCUCCACCAUCGGCGUCAGUCGUCGACUAUGCGGAAUGGCUCACGCAGCACUUCCGGGGCAAGGUCGCGACCGUUCUCUAUACGAACAUGGUCGACUACGACGGCAGGUCGUCCCUCUCUGUCUUCCAUGUCACGCAGAUGUCGUGGAUACUACUUCACCCGCAGUUGCGCCGCAUCGGCGAAGCUGCGUCGCCUCUGACAACGCUCCAACGACUCCGUGCAUGGGCCCUCCUCGCCACGGCGCGUGCGUGCCAGCGGCUCCACGUGCCCUUCCCUCCGUGCCCUUUACUUCACAUUCACAAGGCGUCUCCGGUGCCUUUUACCGGACCAGCUCUUCCAGCAGUAGUCGCCGCAGACACCGCCGCCGCUGACGUGGCGACCGCGACACCGAAGCCCGGGGCGUUCUUUCGACCUCCGUGUGAUGUCGCUGCUGCUGACGCUCCUGCUGCUGCGCUGCUUCGCCCUUCACCGCCAUCAGCUGGCGUGCCACCGCUGACAGCUCACCAGGCGGCCCCACGGAAGGUGCAGUACGCAUGCAAGUACAACUUCGACGCAUUACACCGCCCCGUUCAUCGAGGCAGUGGCGACGCUAGGUAGUUUUCAUUUCUUCUGGGCAGUACUGUUUUGGCACCCGUGUCGGUGUUGGGCUGUUGUGCGGAGCAGCAGCUGCUUGCAGGUGAUCCUGCUUUAUGCAGAGAGACGCACGGCUGGCGGAGGUUGCGUUUCCUAUGCUUUUAUCUUCUCCCCCCGUCUCCCAUGAGGACGGGGGACACCUCAGAGUCGUGCCGAGGACUGGUGCCCCACGCGGUGGGGAGGCCCAGCGACUGCAGCCUGCUCUCGGGUGCGGCUGCGAGCUCCUGGUGCCGGCACACAAGUCGGGGCUGGCGUUUUUCCGAGGAUACAUGCAGCCAUGAUUAUGUUUGUGCCAGCUCACUACGAAUCGCGUCGACUAUUCAAAGAAUGUACGUAUCAACCAGCUGCUUUUCUGUUUUCUUUGCGUCGCGUGGAUGUUGAGUGUACUACCGGACUGAGCCCGCGCUGUAUGCAGUGGCAUCGCAGUGGGCCUGGGUGCCGCCAAACGGUGCUGGUCGGCUCGGUUCCUGGACAUAGCCGUGGCGCAACAGAGGUGGGUGAGCUGUGGUCGUGUGUGUUUGUGCGUCUUUCAGCUGAGAUGUUCGCCGUGAAAUGGACGUGUUCGAGCUGAAAUAUGUUUUGACUGUCUUUUUUUUUCGCUCUCUCGUCGCUGUCAUUUGCGUGGCCGCGACUGCCGCGCCGCGUCCCCUCUGGAGCGGUUGUCGUGCUACCUCCUUUUUAGGUCUCUCUUUGUGUGUAUAUAUAUAUAUAUAUAUUGAUGUAUACUAUAGGCCGCCGUUCUCAGACGUUUCCCUCCUUCGUGACUGUCGCCAAACGAGGGUGCGGUGCCGGAGACGUGCACUUGUGCGCGAGUGCGGGUCGACGAUGUAGCGUGCCGUGCGCCCCAUCCCACGACGCCGGUAUUGUAGGGCAUCCCCCUUUUUGUUUUGCUUUGUGAUGUUUGGCCGGCUGCCUUUCACGCCACGCCUCCCUCUUCGUGUGCCGCAUGCGCGCCCCUUUUCUUUUUUUUCGUUGGCAGAGGUGUGCGCCCGCAAGUCGGCGAGGAAGUGACGCAGUGCCCGCAUUGCACCUGCCGCGCUGUGCGAUGGCUAGCCGCUACUGUGUGUGCGCUUACGGAGUUCUUUGAGGGUCUCUGCCCGUGAUCAUCUAAGUCGUGCGCCCCUCCGCCAGUCGUAAGCAGAGGCGAGAAAUGCCAUGCAGUAACUGCUGUUAUUAGACACACUCGUGCUUGGCGGUGCUGACACUGCCCUUGAGUGGCUUCCAAGUACAUAAAGGCGUCCUGGAGAUGCGUGAUGGACGGGCUGUUG